UUUCAGCCAACGCUUGCUAGUAUAUGCAAUGGUGUCAUGGUUUGGAGGCUAAGUAUAUAUCCAGACGAUGUCCCAACUGAAUUGGAAACAAUCACCCAUGGAAGGAGUUACAGAGAUAAAGUUUGGAGCUGAGACAAAAGGAUGGACCAUCUAGAGAAUGCCAUAUCCAGGGAUCCAUCUCAUGGUUUUACUUUUAAUUCAACCAUCUAGAAUGAGAAAAUCAGAGUUAAGGAGUUUUAGAAGUUCACUUGUGGACAUUAAACUACCUAAAAACAACUAGAAUGAAGCAGAGCUACUUUG